CUUGACCUCCCAAAGUGCUGGGAUUACAGGCGUGAGCCACCACGCCUGCCUACAAAUGUAUUUUUAAUAGUUGCAUUCAUUUUAAAAUAUAGAAUGCCUUCUCUGAGGUUACCACUUUCUUAUAUUUUAUUAUACAUAAUUAGAUCAGAAAAUGCAUUUAUUUUUGGUGGGAGAAAAUUAUUGUUUGCUUCAACUUUUAUAAUUUUAAAGUAGUUGAUAAACUACCAAAUUUAAUAAUAAUUAAGAUAUCUAAUAAAUAUUGCACGUUCUUACUCAUGUGGAAGCUAAAAAAUGUUCAUCUCAUAGAAUUGGAGAAUAGAGUAGUGGUUACUAAUAGUGGUUAGAAGCUGGGAAGGGUGGAGGGAAUAUGGAGAGGUUGGUUAAAGGAUGUGAAAUUAUAACUAGGAAGAAUAAAUUCUGGCAUUCUGUAGCACUGUAGGGUGAGUAUAGUUAACAAUAAUUUGUUAUUUAUUUUCAAAUAGCUAGAAGAGAGGAUUUUUUGAUGUUCCCAACACAAAGAAAUGAUAAAUGUUUGAGGUGAUGAGUAUGCUAAUUACCCUGAUUUAAUCAUUACACAUUGCAGGUAUCAAAAUAUCACACUCUGUAUCCCAUAAAUCUGUACAAUCAUUGUGUGCCAAUUAUUAUGUCUUAUGGUCUCUUCAAGUAGCCAUAAAACGUUAAUUGGUAGUAUUUCAUAUCUUUCUGAUAAUUUAGUCAUGGGCUCUGAGUUUCUUUCUUAAGAUGAGAGCCUUGAUUUUCCAUUUUUACACAUCUUGCAGGUUUCCUCCUCCUCAGUGUCCUCCAGUUGAAGGCUCGAACCCACUUCCUCUUUAAAGUUUGCUGCAUUUCCUGUCCAUUCAUUUCCCUGACUUUGGUGACAGGUCUUAUUUAUUUAAAAUUACAACAACUAUAAGUUUUUUUCUUUCUAUCCCUGGGUAAAGAAUUGAGACAAGACUUUUCAUCCCCAACACUUUCCCCUCCCCCAGCCCCCCACAAAAGGAAAUUUCUUCUGCUUGAAGAUACUUUUGAGUGCCUGUGAUUAAAAACAAUAUUUUUGUUAUCUGGAGAUUAUUAAAGAACCAAUGACUCAUAGAAGGCAUUGUGUAUUUACAUAUAUAUUAUACUCAUUACCUAGGAUGUUUACAGAAUUUCCCCCUUGGGAGUUAAUAUGCAGCUGCGUUUUAUUCCUCACCUGUUACCAUUACCCUAAUAGAGACAAGUCCAAAGUACCAUGGAAACCCUUCAGGAGAAACAGCAAAACAGAUGACAAAGCAGCUCAUUUCUUUUCUUCUUAAUGGUCACUCUUUUAAAAUUAUUUCCAAAGCAGAUUUGAGUGUGUUUUGGUUUUCCAGGAAGUAAAUAACUUCUGAUAUUCAGACUGUUUAAAUGUAGUUAUUGUCCCCUUUGCACUGAAUCGGAUUAAGUCAACCAAGUAUUUUGCGCCCCAUAAACAUGUUCUUAAUCUAAAUGUUCACCUCAAAACUUUCUUUGUAAAUAUGUAGUUUUGAUGCCUUGCUUCCAACAGAACAGUAAGCUUCAUGUGGGAUUUGGAGAAAAGGCAUCGAACACUCCAAUGCUACCUUUGGGAACUCUUUCCCUGGAAUCCAGGGCUCCUUCAAGCAGGUCACCUUGAUUCACCUAUAGGUCAGGACAGACCAGUUUGUACCAUCUAUUUAAAUGCUGAACUUACUGGUCUUUUUUUGUUUGUUUGUUUUCAAUGUAUCUCACACUAAAUCACUGCAUAGCUCAACGUAUUACUUUAGGAUGAGUCUUUCUGACAACUUAAUAUUUAUUUGUAGUCUUUCUGGUUCUCUAAUGAAGAAAUAAUAAACUCACAGUAUGUAAGAAAAAGAAUAGUUUUGAAAUGGAGUUUUCUAAAGAACUUUAGAGGUUUUUUUUUUUAAAGUUUAAAUGUUGGUGUAAAUGUUCCAUUUGUGUGGCAAAUUAAUUUUCCAUGUGCAUUCCCUUUAUUCUGAUGGUGGAGGAUGUUGGGAGGGUGGACAGGGAAAAUGCACUCACUAUACAGCUAAUAUCAAAUCUGUGCCUGCUACUGACCACUCUAGGCUCUCAGGAACAAAGAUGAGCAAUGCACUUUCAAUACGCUGCUAUACUGGAGAGAGAGGGCAUGUAAAUAAAUCACUAUAUUACAUUAUGGUGUGGACACUGGAAAAAUGGGGGUUCAGGUAAAGGACUCCAUAAACAUAGAAAAGGGAAUUAAUUCUGACCAAGGCAUUAGAUAAGGAGCGUUCAGGAGAAGCUUCAAGGUAGACUUGCAAUUUGACUUUGCAGAUGAAUAGGAAUUUAUCUGGAUCUAUAGGUUCCAGGAAGGGUGAACAGUACAGGCAGGUAUGAUGUGCUAUGCUUAACCACUGUGGGGAAUGUGCCAUAGCCAGCAUAUAAGAGGCUCUGUGGAUAGAGGAGAAGCUGGACAGGUGGGUUGGGACCAACUUGAGAAGAGCCUGGAAGAACCCAAGGUGGCUUUAAUCGGGGGAAGGACCUGAUCAGUCAUGUGUUUUCCAAUGUUACCUUUGCUGUGAUGUGAAGAGUAGGUUUGAAAGGAGAGCAGUUAGAGGCAAAAUUAGGAUCUCAUUGCAGUCAUUGUAUUUGUAAGAGACAAGGGCCUGAACCAGUCAUUGGUGGCAAGGUUGCUUUUGAGAGAGAUCCCCAAGGCCCAAAGGGCAGGGUUUGCUGACUGUGGCACCUAAAGGAGGAGAUCCAAAAGGAGGAUUCUGAGGUUUCUAUGGCAGGCAGCCCCGUGAUGGUAAAUCUGUUAACUGAGACAGGGGAGCAAGUUCGAAGUGCCUGUCAGGACUUUCACAAGGAGUUAUUCAGCAGGAGACAUUUGGAAAUAUAUGGCAGGGAUCCAGGAGAGGUUGGGACAGCAAACACACAUGUAGGAGUCAUUGGGUUGUACAGGCAGUUCAGUGGUGUUGCGUUUUUAAGGGAGAGAGUGAAAGAGAUGAAUAGUAGAAUAAGCAGGCUUAAAA